CCGCGUUGGUUGGCUGGGCGCACCCUGAUCCAGCCUGCCGCGUGUGUGAAGAAGGCCUUCGGGUUGUAAAGCACUUUUGUCCGGGAAGAAAUCCUUUGCGCUAAUACCGCGGGGGGAUGACGGUACCGGAAGAAUAAGCACCGGCUUACUACGUGCCAGCAGCCGCGGUAAUAA
rnacentral:rRNA from 1 species